rnacentral:rRNA from 1 species
UACAGAGGAGCCAAGCGUUGUCCGGAUUGACUGGGCGUAAAGCGCACGCAGGCGGUCGCGCGCGUGGGGUGUGAAAUCUGGCCGCUUAACGGCCAGGCGCCAUCCCAUACGGCGCGACUGGAGUGAUGCAGAGGUCGGUGGAAUUGCCGGUGUAGUGGUGAAAUGCGUAGAUAUCAGUCGGAACACCGGUGGCGAAGGCGGCUUCUUGGGCCGUUCCUGACGCUGAGGCGCGAAAGCCAGGGGAGCGAACGGG